GGCGCGUGAUGCUGCUCUCACGAUGGUCUUCGGAGCCCCCCCUCGGGGGCCGUGACGCCGACGUUGGCGCUGACGCCGGGCG